rnacentral:rRNA from 1 species
GGGGCAACUCCGGAGUAAAGCGGCACACGGGUGAGGAAUGCGUGGACAACUUGCCUUCAGGACCGGGACAACGGCGGGAAACUGCCGCUAAUACCGGAUGGCCUCGGAGCCCGGCAUCGGGUGCCGAGUAAACGGUGGGGACCGCAAGGCCUGCUGCCUGGAGAGAGGUUCACGUCCUAUCAGCUAGUUGGUGAGGUAACGGCUCACCAAGGCGAUGACGGGUAGGCGAGCUGAGAGGCUGACCGCCCACAUUGGGACUGAGACACUGCCCAGACUCCUACGGGAGGCUGCAGUCGAGAAUCUUCCGCAAUGGACGCAAGUCUGACGGAGCGACGCCGCGUGCGGGAUGAAGGUCUUCGGAUUGUAAACCGCUGUCAAGCGUUAUGAACAAGCAGGGACCAACAAUUCCUGCUCUGACAAAGGCGCUAAAAGAAGCCACGGCUAACUCUGUGCCAGCAGCCGCGGUAAUACAGAGGUGGCAAGCGUUGCUCGGUGUCACUGGGCUUAAAGGGCGCGUAGGCUGUGCGGUACGGUUCGGGUGAAAUCCCUCGGCUCAACCGAGGAACUGCCCGGGCGACGGCCGCGCUGGACUGCAUCAGGGGACGAUGGAACUCCCGGUGGAGCGGUGAAAUGCGUAGAUAUCGGGAGGAACGCCGGUGGCGAAAGCGAUCGUCUGGGGUGCAUGUGACGCUGAGGCGCGAAAGCCAGGGGAGCAAACGGGAUUAGAUACCCCGGUAGUCCUGGCCCUAAACGAUGCGUACUAGGUAGUGGUUCGUUCCG